GAACGUCCAUUAAAUGUGUAGCAACAUCCUUCAAAUUUCAGGUUUAUGCUGCACCCUUCUCUAUUUCAAGCAUCUCCUUUCCGCCAUAUCAAUAUUCUGCCGCAUAAUAUCCCAUACUUCACAUCAUACACGUAGGCUUCAAUCACUAAUCAUUAGAAUGCCUAAUUCGAUCAAAACUCUCCUUAAGGCGCGUAGUCUUCCUAUUACCAAGCCCAUAUGCAACCCCUGACACUCUCCAACUUUGGAGGAAC
rnacentral:lncRNA from 1 species